GUUCCAGCUGCCUGCAGUCUGAUUGCAGCAAUGAGAAUCAGCUGCCGUAAUUGGCUAACACCAGUCACCUGUUUGCAAUUCCACCUCCCAGCAUAUAAGCCAGCUCUGUCAUUCACUCCCUGCUCCACCACGGACGCGCACAUCCUGCGUCGACUCGUGACCACCAGAGCUUCUUGGACACGACGCUGCCCUCGUACCCCUGCCGGUUCCUGUUUGGGUUUCCUACCUACCCCUUCAGCUGAGUUUCUUCCUGUUUCCUUCCUCCCUGACUGUUCCAGCUGCCUGCAGUCUGAUUGCAGCAAUGAGAAUCAGCUGCUGUAACUGGCUAACACCAGUCACCUGUUUGCAAUUCCACCUCCCAGCAUAUAAGCCAGCUCUGUCAUUCACUCCCUGCUCCACCACGGACUCGCACAUCCUGCGUCGACUCGUGACCACCAGAGCUUCUUGGACACGACGCUGCCCUCGUACCCCUGCCGGUUCCUGUUUGGGUUUCCUACCUACCCCUUCAGCUGAGUUUCUUCCCGUUCCCUUCCUCCCUGACUGUUCCAGCUGCCUGCAGUCUGAUUGCAGCAAUGAGAAUCAGCUGCCGUAAUUGGCUCACACCAGUCACCUGUUUGCAAUUCCACCUCCCAGCAUAUAAGCCAGCUCUGUCAUUCACUCCCUGCUCCACCACGGACUCGCACAUCCUGCGUCGACUCGUGACCACCAGAGCUUCUUGGACACGACGCUGCCCUUGUACCCCUGCCGGUUCCUGUUUGGGUUUCCUACCUACCCCUUCAGCUGAGUUUCUUCCCGUUCCCUUCCUCCCUGACUGUUCCAGCUGCCUGCAGUCUGAUUGCAGCAAUGAGAAUCAGCUGCCGUAAUUGGCUAACACCAGUCACCUGUUUGCAAUUCCACCUCCCAGCAUAUAAGCCAGCUCUGUCAUUCACUCCCUGCUCCACCAUGGACGCGCACAUCCUGCGUCGACUCGUGACCACCAGAGCUUCUUGGACACGACGCUGCCCUCGUGCCCCUGCCGGUUCCUGUUUGGGUUUCCUACCUACCCCUUCAGCUGAGUUUCUUCCCGUUCCCUUCCUCCCUGACUGUUCCAGCUGCCUGCAGUCUGAUUGCAGCAAUGAGAAUCAGCUGCCGUAAUUGGCUAACACCAGUCACCUGUUUGCAAUUCCACCUCCCAGCAUAUAAGCCAGCUCUGUCAUUCACUCCCUGCUCCACCAUGGACGCACACAUCCUGCGUCGACUCGUGACCACCAGAGCUUCUUGGACACGACGCUGCCCUCGUGCCCCUGCCGGUUCCUGUUUGGGUUUCCUACCUACCCCUUCAGCUGAGUUUCUUCCCGUUCCCUUCCUCCCUGACUGUUCCAGCUGCCUGCAGUCUGAUUGCAGCAAUGAGAAUCAGCUGCCGUAACUGGCUAACACCAGUCACCUGUUUGCAAUUCCACCUCCCAGCAUAUAAGCCAGCUCUGUCAUUCACUCCCUGCUCCACCAUGGACGCGCACAUCCUGCGUCGACUCGUGACCACCAGAGCUUCUUGGACACGACGCUGCCCUCGUACCCCUGCCGGUUCCUGUUUGGGUUUCCUACCUACCCCUUCAGCUGAGUUUCUUCCCGUUCCCUUCCUCCCUGACUGUUCCAGCUGCCUGCAGUCUGAUUGCAGCAAUGAGAAUCAGCUGCCGUAAUUGGCUAACACCAGUCACCUGUUUGCAAUUCCACCUCCCAGCAUAUAAGCCAGCUCUGUCAUUCACUCCCUGCUCCACCACGGACGCGCACAUCCUGCGUCGACUCGUGACCACCAGAGCUUCUUGGACACGACGCUGCCCUUGUACCCCUGCCGGUUCCUGUUUGGGUUUCCUACCUACCCCUUCAGCUGAGUUUCUUCCCGUGACCAUCUGCUACAAAGCAUUACCGGGUAACAAAUACACCUGAUGAAGAUCAGAAAUAUUCAAGCAGAAACCUUCAGCUUCCACGAAGGUGGAAUUCAUUCUGCCAUGAAGACCUAACAACCUUCAAAGACAAUUUGAAAAUGGGAAGAAGCGCUGCGUCACUCUGCGAAGCGCUGCGUCACUCUGCGAAGCGCUGCGUCACUCUGCGAAGCGCUGCGUCACUCUGCGAAGCGCUGCGUCACUCUGCGAAGCGCAACUCAACUCAACUCAACUCAACUCAACUCAACUCAACUCAACUCAACUCAACUCAACUCAACUCAACUCAACUCAACUCAACUCAACUCAACUCAACUCAACUCAACUCAACUCAACUCAACUCAA